ACACAUGACGAAAAGUAAUUAACUAUAAGAGUAUAUCUUCGAGGGAUUCACUGUAUCAAAGAGAGUCGGGAGUUCCCAACUGACCCCGGUUAUCACGAACAAAUUAGUACGUUCUUACAAAAUAACGCAGCGCUAUUAUAGACCUUAUUUUAUUACAAUAAAGUCGUUAAUCACUCAGCAAUCAUCUUUUAGACGCAGAUGUUAUAUUGCAGUCAUAAUACACACGAAUACUACUAAAAUUCCGUGCGUUAUCUAUUGAGAGCUUUAUUUCAAUAGCAAUAACGUUCAGUUUAUAUUUAUGUUUGUUUUCAAGUGGUUUGCUACGUUUGUCGUUAACAUACAAUAUAAACUACACGCAUUGCAAGAAUCUUCACAAUUCAAAAAGCAUCCCGCUUCAUAACUUGUUAGUGACAAAGGAAAAAAGAAAAAUCAAAAAUGAAUUUCGGAAAAUUGUUCUUCUUCGUCUUCGCCUGUGUCUUGGCUUUGAGCUCGGUGUCGGCGGCGCCAAAAUGGAAGAUUUUCAAGAAAAUUGAACACUUCGGUCAAAACAUUCGUGAUGGUCUCAUCAAGGCUGGCCCUGCAGUACAAGUCGUGGGUGACGCCGCAACCAUCUACAAAGGAAAAUAGAGAAACCAGAUUAUCGAUGCCAUACCAAAAAUGAGGAGUUAUUUACAAUACUCGUACGAAUGCAAGACCAAAACAUUGAAAACAAAAGGAAGUUUUCGAUCCUCGAUGCCUCGAUCUCUUACUUUGAAAACAAAUAGUUUUAUAACAAAACAAAACAAAAAUCAAUAACAAUUUUUUUAAUUCGUAUCAGCGGGAUCACUUUGUUACAGUAACUAAUAACCAAUUACUUACUGGUUAUUGGUGGAACAGAUAACUAUUUAACUACAUUUUUGUAUAUUCUAUUGUAAAUGAUUCUCUGUACUUACUGCCCCAAAUACUCGAAAUAAUUUAUUUUAAUGUAAGAUAUAGUAUUAUUUAUAAAUAAACAUUUGAAAU